rnacentral:rRNA from 1 species
UGAAUACGAGACGCUAAGGCGUCGAAGUAGUGUAUAUCAUACUUCCAAGAAAAGCUUGCAAUGUCAUAGAUAAAAAACGCCUGUACCAUAACCGACACAGGUGGGUAGGUAGAGUAUACUAAGGGGCGCGAGAUAACUCUCUCUAAGGAACUCGGCAAAAUAACUCCGUAACUUCGGGAGAAGGAGUGCCUUAUUCGUAAGGUUGCAAUAACAAGAUCCAAGCAACUGUUUAUCAAAAACACAGGUCUCCGCUAAGUCGCAAGACGAUGUAUGGGGGCUGACGCCUGCCCAGUGCCAGAAGGUUAAAGAAGUUGGUUAGCAAUUGCGAAGCUGAUAACUGAAGCCCUGGUGAACGGCGGCCGUAACUAUAACGGUCCUAAGGUAGCGAAAUUCCUUGUCGGGUAAGUUCCGACCCGCACGAAAGGCGUAAUGAUUUGGAUACUGUCUCGGAGAGGGGCUCGGUGAAAUAGACUUGUCUGUGAAGAUGCGGACUACCUGCACCAGGACAGAAAGACCCUAUGAAGCUUUACUGUAACUUGAAAUUGAAAUUGGACUUUAUUCGCGCAGUAUAGGUGGGAGGCGUUGAUUAUAAUCUUGCGGGAUUAUUGGAGCCAUCAGUGAGAUACCACUCUUGUAAUGUUAGAUUUCUAACUUUGAACCAUUAUCUGGUCAAAGAACAGUUUCAGGCGGGCAGUUUGACUGGGGCGGUCGCCUCCUAAACGGUAACGGAGGCGUACAAAGGUUUCCUCUGAACGGUUAGAAAUCGUAUCUAGGGUGUAAAGGCAUAAGGAAGCUUGACUGUGAGACCUACAAGUCGAGCAGGGACGAAAGUCGGUCUUAGUGAUCUGACGGUACUGAGUGGAAAGGCCGUCACUCAACGGAUAAAAGUUACUCUAAGGAUAACAGGCUGAUCUCCCCCAAGAGUUCACAUCGACGGGGAGGUUUGGCACCUCGAUGUCGGCUCAUCGCAUCCUGGGGCGGUAGUACGUCCCAAGGGUUGGGCUGUUCGCCCAUGAAAGCGGUACGCGAGCUGGGUUCAGAACGUCGUGAGACAGUUCGGUCCAUAUCCGGUGUAGGCGUUAGAGUAUUGAGAGGAGCCUUCUUUAGUACGAGAGGACCGAGAAGGACAUACCUCUGGUGUACCAGUUAUCGUGCCAACGGUAAACGCUGGGUAGCUAUGUAUGGAGUGGAUAACCGCUGAAAGCAUCUAAGUGGGAAGCCCACCUCAAGAUAAGUAUUCUCAC